ACACAUUCUCACUUUGUCACCAGGCUGGAGUGCAGUGGAGCAAUCUCGGUUCGCUGCAAUCUCUACUUCCUGGGUUCAAGUGAUUCUCCUGUCUCAGCCUCCUAAGUAGCUGGGACUCCAGGCGCAUACCACCAUGACUGGCUAAUUUUUGUAUUUUUAGUAGAGACGGGGUUUCACCAUGUUGGCCAGGCUGGUCUUGAACUUCUGGCCCCAAGUCAUCUGCCUGCCUCAGCCUCCCAAAGUGCUGGGAUUACAAGUGUGAGCCACUGUGUACAGCCUUUGUGUUAACUUACUUUGAAUUAGCCCCUUAUUCCAAAGCUGCCUCCUGAAAGGAGGCUUCCUAAAAGGUGUUGCUUUGGGGUAAAUAAGAGGUGCUGGUGAAGUGAGACUAGCUUGCGCAUCUCUCUGCCAUGAAGGAAACUAGCUCCGCAGAUGUUUUACUAACCACAGCAGACCCACUCCUUGAGGAACCCAGAAGGGCAGAGAGCAUCAGAUGAAAUCAACUGCUGAGAGAGGGAAGUGAGUGCUGUGUUGGCACCGCUGCCAGAAACUCUUGAGAAUGAGCAUCGUGUGCCACUUAUCCACUGCUUGCCGACUUCAGUAGCAAGAGCCUCCAGAAUGCUCAUGGAUAAACAUCAUCUUUGUGGCCACACAUUGUUUUAUGAGCUGAGUCAUCAGACUGGCUGGCUCCUUAAAUGCUGCUGUGUGAUUCUCUAGGCAGCAGAAAACAAGGAGAGAAGAUAUGAAGUGUAUCUCAUCGAGCUUUGUAGAGGGCCAGUAUCAUUCACCAAAGGUGAUGGGGGAUUUACCAUUAUGGAGUUUGCUUGUGAUAAAAAAUUAUUGAU
rnacentral:lncRNA from 1 species